UACAGAGACUGCAAGCGUUAUUCGGAUUCACUGGGCGUAAAGGGUGCGCAGGCGGCCGAGUGUGUGAGGCGUGAAAGCCCGGGGCUUAACCCCGGAAUUGCACCUCAAACUACACGGCUAGAGCAUUGGAGAGGGUAGCAGUAUUCAUGGUGUAGCAGUGAAAUGCGUAGAUAUCAUGAGGAAUACCAGAGGCGAAGGCGGCUACCUGGACAAUUGCUGACGCUCAGGCACGAAAGCGUGGGGAGCAAACAGG
rnacentral:rRNA from 1 species